UGAGUAACACGUAUCCAACCUGCCGUCUACUCUUGGACAGCCUUCUGAAAGGAAGAUUAAUACAAGAUGGCAUCAUGAGUCCACAUGUUCACAUGAUUAAAGGUACUCCGGUAGACGAUGGGGAUGCGUUCCAUUAGAUAGUAGGCGGGGUAACGGCCCACCUAGUCUUCGAUGGAUAGGGGUUCUGAGAGGAAGGUCCCCCACAUUGGAACUGAGACACGGUCCAA
rnacentral:rRNA from 1 species